rnacentral:lncRNA from 1 species
CCCCACCCUCCGCGGGGGCAAAUCUGGAAGGGGCUCCGAGGUGGGGCAGCCACUCCCGGUUCCACCCUCGGCACCCGCCCCAAACGUGGGAGCUCGGCUCGCGCCGCGUCCCAGGUGGCCCCGCUAUUGUUUUACCUUCCUGGGUGUUUAUUUUUCGCUGACUGGAAAGAAAAGAGGAGGGAGAAAAGAUACCGGGGCUCCGCUUUCGCUGCCGGGGCGCGCUCGCCGCGCGCCCGACCGGCCCGGGGAGGGGUCUCGCGCCGACCCCCGAGUGCAGCCGGCGCCGGGCCCGCCGCUGCCCCUCCCGCCGCCCUCCCCCGGGCUCCGGCUCCCUUCGCUGCCGCCCCUCCCCGCGCCGCCCGCGCGCCCACCGGAUACCAACCUCGCCGCCGGCCCUCUCCCUGCGCGCGUGGGUCCGUCGGUCCUUCCGCCCGGCGCACGCCUCUGGGGACGCACAGCCUCCUUCCUCUGCUCCCGCAGCUACACCGGCAGCCGCGCUCCGGCCCCUCCCCAGGCCCCGCCCCCUUCACCCGGCCCGCUGCACCCCGGCCAGCCCAGCGCGGGGAGAAGGCGGCGGCCUCGGCGAGAGGCACCGCCCCCGGGCCCGCCCCUUCCCACCACCCCUUCCCCACCCCCCCGACCCCUGGAGAAGGGCUACCGCUCUGGGGGACGGCCUUGGGGCUCCGCGCGCCGCUGGUGGCGCCUCACCCGCACCUGCGGGUGGCAAACGCCACCCGAGAACCUGGGCGCAGCUGGCGUGGGGGCCGGGCAGCUCUAAAAGUUAAUCGGGGGGGCUCACGCGCACACUACCCGGCCACCGACAGGAUGCACAGGCCCUUCCCAAAGCCCAGCAAAGGACCCCGGAGCCUGCAAGAGGGCGGCCGGGAGCGCGUCCCCUGUCUGGGAAACAUAAACAAAGCCCUUUGCAGGAGACUUGAAUCUGCUCAUGAUCCCCACACUGCACUUCACGCUGAGACAAAAUUUCCUAGACUUUGCGAUUCGAAUUGGACUCUGGAAGAAGUCUGGAUUCUAACCUCGGCUCCUCCACUUCCCCGCUGCCUAUCUCCGCCGAGUUAUCUAACAGCCCUGUGCCUCAGUUUCCCCCCACCUGUUAUAUGA